rnacentral:lncRNA from 1 species
AUGGAGAACAACUGUUAUCUCUUUGCUUUCAUCUGUGUCACUUAAAUCAAUUUUCUAUGUGCCCAUCAGGCCAGGGAUAAAGUUACUAAGUUUCAAAAUGGGGAAGAAUUCUUAGAGUUGAGUCAUCAAAGACAAGCUGGGCUCUUCCGCCUCUAAUGUGACCUAUUUUAAAGACCUUUAGGGGAGAUGAUUUCAAAACAUAUUUUUGAUAAUUCACUUCAAUGUCAAAAUGUUAAAAAGGAUAUAUUUCUAUUUUUAAAAACCAUUUUCUGAGCAUUUCUACAUUGCAAAUAAAUUAAAUCUUCUACUCCCAACAUGAAGUCUGAAAAAUAACAAUGAAUAACAAAAGAUAGUUACCAUCUUUUAAACAUCAACUUAUGUACAUUCUCCUGUUUAAUUACAUCUAGCACAUAAAAUAACCCCAUAAAAUAGGUAUAAUGAUCCCACUUUAAGGUGAUGAAACUAAGGGUCAGAAAAGCUAUUGAGCCAAGCUGAAACACCUAAGAAGUAGAGGAACAAAAAUGUGAACAUAGGAAAUGAUGUCAAGUGUUUUGAGGGUUUUUUUUUUUUUCCUCCCCUAAAUGCUUGGAUAUUUAGGAAAGCUUUUUCCCCAUCUUUUCUCAGAAAUCCCUUGUUGAGGCUGUUGGAAGUAAAGCCAACGCUCUGACAGCACAAUUAGCUCCAAAGUCUGAGAUGCUUAACUUUUUCAAAUUACAGGUGUAGGGGCUUGGUUAAGAGAAACAGGUAGAGAAGCAGGUCAGCAUAGAGAGAGUCAGCUAUUGGAGGAAUUAAAAAAAAAAAAAAAGUAAAGAAAGCUUGAAGGUGCGUGGAGCCACAGCUCCUAUUCUGUAAGCAUCCUGGAUUUCCCAAAACCUGUCUGUUCUCCUUCUGUGCAUAAUUGUGUGUGUAAGUACAGCCUAGUUAUUACCCAUUCUAAGUAGCAAUUUGAUGUGAGCUAAAAGCUCUAAGUCGAGUCUCCGAAUGGCUCUGAGAACAUCACUGUCAAAGCCAGCUCUGUCUACAGAAGGCCCUGGAAUGCCAGCAAACCCAGGAUCUGCCCCAUAUACACGGGCAGCUACGAACAGCAGUUCUCUUCUGCAGCACCUUCUUCUACUUGCUGGGUCCUGGCUACAUCUUCCCAACCUAUCUGGUUAUCAACCUCUAAGCAUCCCAGCUCCAGUCAAAACUCCUCUGCUGGGGGCUUCCCUGGUGGUUGAGUGGUAAAGAAUCCAUCUGCCAACGCAGGACACACGGGUUCAAUCCCUGGUCUGGGAAGAUCCCACAUGUCAAGGAGCAACUGAGCCUGGGCGCCACAGCUGCUGAGCCUGUGCUCUAGAGCCUGGGAGCUGCAACCACUGAAACCACAUGCUGCCGAAGCCUGAGCGCCCCAGAGCCCGUGCUUCACCAGGGAAGUCGCCACAGUGAGAAACCCGCUCCCUGCAACCAGAGAGUAGCCCCCACUCAUAGCAACCAGAGAAAGCCUGCACACAGCAACACAGACCCAGCACAGCCA